UGAACUUGGUAGAAAGCCAGAAAGCAACCAGCCCUUUGAGGAAGAGCUUUUGCUUUACCGCUGAGUAAACUCACUCACCACUCUGUCUGAGUGUCCAUGUGGCUGAAUUGUUUCCAGAAAAGAGCCUCCUGUCUCCUCACAGCUCAGACAUGAAGCCCAUCCUCAUCUCAGUGCUUGUGAUGAUAUUCACACUCAGAGAAACAAGUCCCCAGACAGUGACUCAGCCUGAGGACCACAUGUCUGUCUUCGAAGGGGCCCCGGUGCAGGUGAAGUGCAACUACUCGUAUUCUGGGAGUCCUGAUCUCUUCUGGUAUGUCCAGUACCCCAAACAAGGCCUCCAGUUACUCCUGAAACAUAUCUCAAGAGAGACCAUCAAAGGUUUCACGGCUGAUCUUAACAAGGGUGAUAGGUCCUUCCAUCUGAAGAAACCAUCAGCUCAAGAGGAAGACUCAGCCGUAUAUUACUGUGCUCUGAGUGCCACAGUGACUGGUUUUAUAAGGGAGGCAGAGCACAAACCCUUUAGGGAGUUAAAGAGAAUAUUUCUUUGUAAAUUCUCCAUAUGGCCACAGAGGGGCAUUCUUCCUCUAGAGACUGACAUUGAGUUUACCUUUUAG